rnacentral:lncRNA from 1 species
GUCCAAUAGUGGGUUUUGCCUGUUUGUUUUUGUUUGUCUUGGCAUUCUCACCUAUUUUCCUCACAGGACUCAGACAAAAGCAAUAUUUGAUUACAUUGCGUGCAAAGAAACUUGGGUAAAUAAUAGUGACAGCAAGGAAUCAAAGGACUGUUAAAGCUCUGAUGUAUGAGCUGCUUGGGCACUGUGAGAUGUUUUAAGAUUAUUCAACAAGGAAAUGACAGUGAACUAGACUCCAACAACUUGUGAAAUUUAAUGAAUCUAUUCAACUAGUGUCAGCUGCAUCAAUAAAUAAUUUAAUGAGAAAUCGUCA